UUUCCGUAGGUGAACCUGCGGAAGGAUCAUUAAAGAGAAUAUGCCCUUCGGGGUAGAUCUCCCACCCUUUGUUUAUAUUACCUUUGUUGCUUUGGCAGGCCCGUCUUCGGACCACCUGCUUCGGCUGGUCAGUGCUUGCCAGAGGACCCAAAACUCUUAUUAUUAAUGUCGUCUGAGUACUAUAUAAUAGUUAAAACUUUCAACAACGGAUCUCUUGGUUCUG
rnacentral:misc_RNA from 1 species